rnacentral:rRNA from 1 species
UACGUAGGGGGCUAGCGUUGUCCGGAUUUAUUGGGCGUAAAGGGCGCGUAGGCGGUUUCUUAAGUUUGGAGUGACAGUGGGUGGCUUAACUACCCAAGGCCUCUGAAAACUGGGGAACUUGAGGACCAGAGAGGGACAUAGAAUUCCGGGUGGAGUGGUGAAAUGCGUAGAUAUCCGGAGGAAUACCAAAGGCGAAGGCAGUGUCCUGGAGGGUGACUGACGCUGAGGCGCGAAAGCUAGGGGAGCGAACAGG